rnacentral:ncRNA from 1 species
UCAAAGAUAAAAACGCAAUAUACAUUCAUGUAAAAUGUAUUAGAACUGGUAGGUAGCCCAGUCGUCUAAGUAAUUAUUCCCUUAGGUAAGUAACCUUCCCCUCCGGGUUGUCCAUUCUUUGAUAAA